AAAACGUUUUUCGUCACCCGCCACCCGCCAGUAACUUUUUUUUCCCGGAGUGAUUACCUUUUCAUCAAUUAGGUAUUGAGUGUACAAGCAAGAGAUUUGCUUUUUUAGAAAGAUUACCAAAAACUGUGUUGAAGAGGAAAGACUUUAUGUGUUACAAUUGAAAGAGCCAUUGAAAUGGUUUUAAAAGAAGUAAGAAGAGUUACCAAUGUGUGAAUCCCAUUUUAUAUACCAAGAAGAAGUCUGUAAAGCUACAUUGACAGAAAGAAGAAGGGAAUUUCUUCAAUUAUUGGAACAGAUAUCUAGAAAAAGUGCCUGCAAACUUAAAUGUGGUUUCUCCAGGUUUUACCAGGUUUUCAUAGAUGAAGAAAGGACUAUACUAGUUCAUUGUUUCCAUCGAUCAGCAGACAUUUAUGUUUUCCUGUCCUGUGUAAGAAAGCUUUCAAUUUACGCCCACAAUGAAUCUCCAAUUACCACUAACCAACAUCGACAAAACUUUAGCUAGGGUAGACUUGUUGACUCAGGAGGUUUUAACCAGAAGUUGGAGUACAGUGUCUCAUUUACACACCACAGAAGAAUCGUGUUAUGCUUAAAAACAAGAUUAAUUCAGUGUAUGUUUUUAAAAGUUGGUUUAUUGGUUCAUGGGUUUUGUGAAAACAUUUUGUGUGUGUGUGUAGCAUGUCCCAAAUGCUGUGUAAAAAUGCAAUGCCAACUUGCCCCAAUUCAUUAGGCAACUUACCCCGUAGUUGGGGCAAGUUGCCCAUUUUAGGUGUCGCAUUAAAACGAAUUUUUUGGCAUAAAUUUUUCCUUUUCUUAGAAUUUUUUGACGCUUAUUUUUAGUUAAGAUAAUAAGGUUUCAUUUAAGCUAAAACUUUUAUCAUUACAAUGAAAAUUACGACUCCCAGGAGCGGGUGUGUGAAAAAUGGCCUACUAGCCCCGGUCUCCCCUAUAAGCUACAUUAUAUCUGAAUUUUUGUUUUAUUUUUUAAUUUGCCCGAUUGAAUAAUAGAUAAUAGGUUUGAUGCAGGUUUACGGAGCUAUUAUUUUACAUUUGGUUUUAAGGUUAGGUUUGAUUGCAAGUUAGAUUUGAUAAAUCUAAUAUCCCAGAUUGAUGUUAAAUGAUAGGUUUGUUGUUAAAAAGGUACAACGGCACCCCAUAAUAGGCCUACAUGCGAAUGGAAAAUUUUACAAAAACCAUGAAUGACAAUAAGAAAAAUAUAGGCUAAAAUAAAAAUAUGCAUUGCGACGACAUCAGAUUGAUUUAAACAUUUA